rnacentral:rRNA from 1 species
CGCGAAUAGCUCAUUACAACAGCUAUAAUUUACCUGAUCUUGACACUAUCCUACUUGGAUAACUGUGGUAAUUCUAGAGCUAAUACAUGCAUUAAAGCUCUGACCUCACGGGAAGAGUGCACUUAUUAGAACAAAACCAAGCGGCUUCGGCUGUUUUCGGUUGACUCAUAGUAACUGAGCUGAUCGCACGGUCUUGCACCGGCGACGUGUCUUUCAAGUAUCUGCCGUAUCAACUUUCGAUGGUAGUGUAUCUGACUACCAUGGUGAUCACGCGUAACGGAGAAUAAGGGUUCGGCUCCGGAGAGUUCGCCUGAGAAAUCGCGAACACAUCUAAGGAAGGCAGCAGGCGCGAAAAUUACCCACUCUCAGCACGAGGAGGUAGUGACGAAAAAUAACGAGACCGUUCUCUUAUGAGGCCGGUCAUCGGAAUGGGUACAAUUUAAACCCUUUAACGAGUAUCUAUGAGAGGGCAAGUCUGGUGCCAGCAGCCGCGGUAAUUCCAGCU